CCCUUUGGAGAGGAACCAGUCUCUUCCUAGCUUUAAGCUUGGAGUUCUGCAAGUAUCCAGCUAGCAUCGAUGGAUCCCAAAACAAUACAAGUGACCAAGGGCAUUUGCAGGUGUAUGGAUUAAAUAAGACAUAAACACAGUCUCCACAAUGUGUUUUUCAGAUUCACUUCAGGACGUCAUGGUGAGUCUAUCAGUAGUAGUUUGUGUGAGACACUGGUGGUAGGAAGGUAAGUGAUGAUGUGGGCCCUCGCACAGACCAUCUCAUUCUCAUAUGCAUGGAUAAGUGAUUAACUGUCCUAACCUUUCUUGUUACCAUGGUUUUUCUUUUCUGCAAGUAUUCAGCAGGGGCGGGGGAUGAUGGUUUUACCAACUCUAGAAAACACAAGUUUUCACUUGUAUAAUUUCAGGAAGGUUUAUGUCGAACACUGUGAGUGUUGUGGCGUUACAUGUAUACAAGUAUUUAUCUUGUGUUCCAGCCAUAGUACUAUUGGUAAGAUAUUUAGAAGUGUCCACACUGAUAGUUUUCUGAGAUUGUUGGUAACUUUUAAUUACAAGCUCUCAGAGUUGGUUUGUUCUAUAGUGAUGAAGCCAACAGUCUUCUUUGCAAGUGUCACGGUAGAAAACGUUGUUUCCAUUAACACUGAUUUCAUAACAUGUUUUCCAGAUCCUUGUGAAGACCUCCUGAUGAACUUAGCAUCAGCCGUUAAUAGGGGCAGAUAUGUUGUUGAUAUGCAGAUAAGUGAGGAUGUGGCCCUAAACCCCAGCACAGGCCAUCCAGUCUCCAGAUAGCCAGGUGUCCAAUAAAGAAAUACUCUCUCACCUAACAACAAUGGUCUUGAUCUUGGAGGACUGAGAGCUUUCAGGUUCCUUCAAGAUCAUGAAGCACUUACCAAUGGUUGUUAAUGGAGAACGUUUCUUGUAUCCAGGUUCCGGUCAAGAAAUCAUGGUAUACCUCAUAAUGACCAUUAACAGAACUUUGCUCACAGCCAGGUAAGAGAUGAUAGGAGCCUAAAGCACUCUAUGAACAGUCCAAUGUUUGAACAUUUAGGUUAGCAUGGAUGGGCCUAACAUUUGUGAUAGCAUGUUUUUCUGUGUGUAUUCAGUUAAAAGAUAUUGUCCCAACCAGUGUUAGUAGUAAGCAUUAGCUCUUAGUACUAUAGAGUUUAUAUUCGAUCGGUGUUUAAACUUAGCAAUGGUUUGAUCUUAUAUAGGUGUCUAGGUAAGCUGUUCUACUCUUAACUAUCUCAUUAAGUUCUUUGCUAGUAUAAAAAUAGGAGAUGAUAUGACAAUAAAACAUUAGGGAUUUCUGAUCUUCAGAUAUAGGUAAUUAAUAUUUCCUAGACCUUUAAUCUUCUUGGCAUAUACACAGUUCAGAAAUGAAUUUGUCCCUAACAAUAGUAGCGAGCAUGAGAUUUUACUGUUUCCUUGUUCGGAGAUAGUACCAAUGGACCGAUAGUCAGUUAUCCAGGUAAUUUGUCAUGUACUCCAUACCCGUGAUAAUGACCACAGGGUCUUUGCAGGUAUCCUCUCAAAAGAUGAAGGUCAGUCUAACUAGAAUUUAACCUUUUGAGUUCUGCAUAUUACCUAGUAAUGUUGAAGGGGGUCCCAAAAUAAUAUUGCUGACCAAGAGAUAGUCCUUACCAAUUCUGGAAACCAUGAGUUUUUUUCUUUUUAUGUUUUAAGGAAAAUUUUAUUUUAUCCCUGUGAGUAAUGAGGGGUUGCCAUAUUCAGGUAAUUAUCACGAUAUUCCUAACGCUAGCAGUAACCAUGGAAAUUUUGCAUGUGUUUCAUAAUGAAAUGUUGUUGUAUCUGAUAAUGAUCUUGACCAUGGUUGUAAUUAAUUAAUCAUGGGUUUUCCAGAUUCCCGCCAAGAGAGCAAGAUGAAAUUAAUGGUUAAUGGGGGACAUUUCUGGUAUCCAGAUAGGUGAUGAGGUCUACCUUCACUACAGCAGACCAUCUGAUACUCCCAUAUCUACAUAAGUGAUAUUGAUGGGCUAAAGUUGUGUUACUGUGUCAUUUAUUUCAGGUAUUCAGGUAGGAAAUGAUAGUGUUUUAUCAAUUCUAGCAAUCAUUUUAUCCUACUGUUUUAUGUUUUUGAGGAAAUUUAUUUUUAACCACGUAAGUAUUGAGCAAUUGUGCGUAUCUACAUAAUGAUGAUGGAAUUGUGAAGCACACUAGUAACUGUGGUUUCUUUGUAAGUGAGCAGGGAAGAGAUGAUGGUGUUUGUGACAGUGGCAAAGACCUUGGAGUACUGCUAGAAUCCAGGUCGAGUUAAAUGUUGGGUCCUGCGGGGAUAGUAAUGAAAAAGGCUAUUUGCAGUAUCCUAGUAGAAAAGGUGUAUCUGUAGAAACCUUUUUACAGUGUGUUUUUCAGGUUCUAUUUGAAUUUCAUGGUAAAUAUCCUAAUGAUCAAUAACAAGACUUUGCUUGUGUCUAGGUAAGUAAUGAUGUGGGCCUUUAGCACCCUAAAAACAAUCAGUUCUUCAAGUGUGUAGGUAAGUGUGGACAGUGUUGCUAAUGUUUCUGUUUCUAUGUUUUUAUGCAAGUAUUCAGUUAAGAAACAGUACUGUCCCAACUAGUGCUAAUAAGUAUUAGCCCUUCUUCUUAUUUUUUUUAGAGUUCACAUGUAAUGUGCGCUUAACCUGAGCAAUGACAGAAGGAUGUGAAGGUGUGCAGCUAAGUCAUCCCGUUGUUAAUCACAGUACUGACCAUGAGAUUUCUAUGGGUACUCAGAGAUGAUCUGUCUCUAACACUGAUGUUGACAUUGAAGUUUUGAAAGAUCCAGAUAGUAUUGGUGGUUCCCUUAAAGAUGUGACUAUAAAAUGAUUUGUUGGUACCUUGUUAUUUCUCACAAAUAAAACUAACGGUUGUUAAGUCCCUAAACAUUUGUUUUUUAGUUUCCAGAAGUCGUGAUAUAGUAAACCUAACUAUGAUUGUGAGGUGGACCUUGAUAAGCAGGUAUGUGCUAAAGUGGGUUUUAUCCCAACACAGAUCAUUCGAUAUUCACAUAUCUAGGUAAGUGAGGAUGGUAUCUCGCAACACAGUGUUACCAUGUUUGGUUUUGUUUUGUUUGCACGUAUACUGUUAAGGUCUUUGCUAGUGUACAGGUAGAUGAUGUGACCAUGAUUCAUUAGAGACUUUCUCAAUUUAACUAGCUGCAAAAUAUUGUAAUUAAUUAACAUUAGACUCUUAUAUUUCUAGUUUUUGUCAUGUGUGUAGUUAGGAAAUAAAUUUAUCCUGUAUAAUACUCAUAAGAAUGAGAUUUUUUAAAAAGUAAACUUCACACCUAACAUGGAGUCCAACACAGGGCUUGAAU